GGUUAAGCGACUAAGCGUACACGGUGGAUGCCCUGGCAGUCAGAGGCGAUGAAGGACGUGCUAAUCUGCGAUAAGCGUCGGUAAGGUGAUAUGAACCGUUAUAACCGGCGAUUUCCGAAUGGGGAAACCCAGUGUGAUUCGUCACACUAUCAUUAACUGAAUCCAUAGGUUAAUGAGGCGAACCGGGGGAACUGAAACAUCUAAGUACCCCGAGGAAAAGAAAUCAACCGAGAUUCCCCCAGUAGCGGCGAGCGAACGGGGAGCAGCCCAGAGCCUGAAUCAGUGUGUGUGUUAGUGGAAGCGUCUGGAAAGGCGCGCGAUACAGGGUGACAGCCCCGUACACAAAAAUGCACAUACUGUGAGCUCGAUGAGUAGGGCGGGACACGUGGUAUCCUGUCUGAAUAUGGGGGGACCAUCCUCCAAGGCUAAAUACUCCUGACUGACCGAUAGUGAACCAGUACCGUGAGGGAAAGGCGAAAAGAACCCCGGCGAGGGGAGUGAAAAAGAACCUGAAACCGUGUACGUACAAGCAGUGGGAGCACGCUUAGGCGUGUGACUGCGUACCUUUUGUAUAAUGGGUCAGCGACUUAUAUUCUGUAGCAAGGUUAACCGAAUAGGGGAGCCGAAGGGAAACCGAGUCUUAACUGGGCGUUAAGUUGCAGGGUAUAGACCCGAAACCCGGUGAUCUAGCCAUGGGCAGGUUGAAGGUUGGGUAACACUAACUGGAGGACCGAACCGACUAAUGUUGAAAAAUUAGCGGAUGACUUGUGGCUGGGGGUGAAAGGCCAAUCAAACCGGGAGAUAGCUGGUUCUCCCCGAAAGCUAUUUAGGUAGCGCCUCGUGAAUUCAUCUCCGGGGGUAGAGCACUGUUUCGGCAAGGGGGUCAUCCCGACUUACCAACCCGAUGCAAACUGCGAAUACCGGAGAAUGUUAUCACGGGAGACACACGGCGGGUGCUAACGUCCGUCGUGAAGAGGGAAACAACCCAGACCGCCAGCUAAGGUCCCAAAGUCAUGGUUAAGUGGGAAACGAUGUGGGAAGGCCCAGACAGCCAGGAUGUUGGCUUAGAAGCAGCCAUCAUUUAAAGAAAGCGUAAUAGCUCACUGGUCGAGUCGGCCUGCGCGGAAGAUGUAACGGGGCUAAACCAUGCACCGAAGCUGCGGCAGCGACGCUUAUGCGUUGUUGGGUAGGGGAGCGUUCUGUAAGCCUGUGAAGGUGUACUGUGAGGUAUGCUGGAGGUAUCAGAAGUGCGAAUGCUGACAUAAGUAACGAUAAAGCGGGUGAAAAGCCCGCUCGCCGGAAGACCAAGGGUUCCUGUCCAACGUUAAUCGGGGCAGGGUGAGUCGACCCCUAAGGCGAGGCCGAAAGGCGUAGUCGAUGGGAAACAGGUUAAUAUUCCUGUACUUGGUGUUACUGCGAAGGGGGGACGGAGAAGGCUAUGUUGGCCGGGCGACGGUUGUCCCGGUUUAAGCGUGUAGGCUGGUUUUCCAGGCAAAUCCGGAAAAUCAAGGCUGAGGCGUGAUGACGAGGCACUACGGUGCUGAAGCAACAAAUGCCCUGCUUCCAGGAAAAGCCUCUAAGCAUCAGGUAACAUCAAAUCGUACCCCAAACCGACACAGGUGGUCAGGUAGAGAAUACCAAGGCGCUUGAGAGAACUCGGGUGAAGGAACUAGGCAAAAUGGUGCCGUAACUUCGGGAGAAGGCACGCUGAUAUGUAGGUGAAGUCCCUCGCGGAUGGAGCUGAAAUCAGUCGAAGAUACCAGCUGGCUGCAACUGUUUAUUAAAAACACAGCACUGUGCAAACACGAAAGUGGACGUAUACGGUGUGACGCCUGCCCGGUGCCGGAAGGUUAAUUGAUGGGGUUAGCGCAAGCGAAGCUCUUGAUCGAAGCCCCGGUAAACGGCGGCCGUAACUAUAACGGUCCUAAGGUAGCGAAAUUCCUUGUCGGGUAAGUUCCGACCUGCACGAAUGGCGUAAUGAUGGCCAGGCUGUCUCCACCCGAGACUCAGUGAAAUUGAACUCGCUGUGAAGAUGCAGUGUACCCGCGGCAAGACGGAAAGACCCCGUGAACCUUUACUAUAGCUUGACACUGAACAUUGAGCCUUGAUGUGUAGGAUAGGUGGGAGGCUUUGAAGUGUGGACGCCAGUCUGCAUGGAGCCGACCUUGAAAUACCACCCUUUAAUGUUUGAUGUUCUAACGUGGACCCGUAAUCCGGGUUGCGGACAGUGUCUGGUGGGUAGUUUGACUGGGGCGGUCUCCUCCUAAAGAGUAACGGAGGAGCACGAAGGUUGGCUAAUCCUGGUCGGACAUCAGGAGGUUAGUGCAAUGGCAUAAGCCAGCUUGACUGCGAGCGUGACGGCGCGAGCAGGUGCGAAAGCAGGUCAUAGUGAUCCGGUGGUUCUGAAUGGAAGGGCCAUCGCUCAACGGAUAAAAGGUACUCCGGGGAUAACAGGCUGAUACCGCCCAAGAGUUCAUAUCGACGGCGGUGUUUGGCACCUCGAUGUCGGCUCAUCACAUCCUGGGGCUGAAGUAGGUCCCAAGGGUAUGGCUGUUCGCCAUUUAAAGUGGUACGCGAGCUGGGUUUAGAACGUCGUGAGACAGUUCGGUCCCUAUCUGCCGUGGGCGCUGGAGAAUUGAGGGGGGCUGCUCCUAGUACGAGAGGACCGGAGUGGACGCAUCACUGGUGUUCGGGUUGUCAUGCCAAUGGCACUGCCCGGUAGCUAAAUGCGGAAGAGAUAAGUGCUGAAAGCAUCUAAGCACGAAACUUGCCCCGAGAUGAGUUCUCCCUGAC
rnacentral:rRNA from 1 species